rnacentral:rRNA from 1 species
AUUGAACGCUGGCGGCAGGCCUAACACAUGCAAGUCGAGCGGUAGAGAGAAGCUUGCUUCUCUUGAGAGCGGCGGACGGGUGAGUAAUGCCUAGGAAUCUGCCUGGUAGUGGGGGAUAACGUUCGGAAACGGACGCUAAUACCGCAUACGUCCUACGGGAGAAAGCAGGGGACCUUCGGGCCUUGCGCUAUCAGAUGAGCCUAGGUCGGAUUAGCUAGUUGGUGAGGUAAUGGCUCACCAAGGCGACGAGCCGUAACUGGUCUGAGAGGAUGAUCAGUCACACUGGAACUGAGACACGGUCCAAACUCCUACGGGAGGCAGCAGUGGGGAAUAUUGGACAAUGGGCGAAAGCCUGAUCCAGCCAUGCCGCGUGUGUGAAGAAGGUCUUCGGAUUGUAAAGCACUUUAAGUUGGGAGGAAGGGUUGUAGAUUAAUACUCUGCAAUUUUGACGUUACCGACAGAAUAAGCACCGGCUAACUCUGUGCCAGCCGCCGCGGUAA